rnacentral:rRNA from 1 species
GCAGUCGAACGAGGACCAAGGAGCUUGCUCCUUGUAGCCGAGUGGCGAACGGGUGCGUAACAAGUGACCAACCUGUCCUAGGGUGGGGGACAACCUGGGGAAACCCGGGCUAAUACCGCAUGAUGUCCCGACCUCGCAUGGGGAUGGGAUCAAAGAGGGCCUCUGCUUGCAAGCUCUCGCCCAGGGAGGGGGUCGCUUCGUAUCAGCUUGUUGGUGAGGUAACGGCUUACCAAGGCUACGACGCGUAGUGGGUCUGAGAGGACGACCCGCCACAUUGGGACUGAGAUACGGCCCAGACUCCUACGGGAGGCAGCAGUGGGGAAUAUUGCGCAAUGGACGAAAGUCUGACGCAGCGACGCCGCGUGUGGGAGGAAGCCUUUCGGGGUGUAAACCACUGUCAGAGGGGAAGAAUCCCGUCAUCUCGAAUAGGGUUGGCGGCUGACGGUACCCUCAAAGGAAGCGCCGGCUAACUCCGUGCCAGCAGCCGCGGUAAGACGGAGGGCGCAAGCGUUGUUCGGAAUUACUGGGCGUAAAGCGCGGGCAGGCGGCUCGUUAAGUCUUCUGUGAAAACCCGGGGCUCAACUCCGUGGAAUGCAGGGGAAACUGGCGAGCUAGAGACCAGUAGAGGCUAGCGGAAUUCCUGGUGUAGCGGUGGAAUGCGUAGAUAUCAGGAAGAACACCUGUGGCGAAGGCGGCUAGCUGGGCUGGAUCUGACGCUCAUCCGCGAA